rnacentral:tRNA from 1 species
CCUGGUGGCUCAGAUGGUAAAGAAUCUGCCUGCAAUGCAGGAGAUCCAGGUACAAACCCUGGGUCAGGA